AGAGUUUGAUCCUGGCUCAGGAUGAACGCUGGCGGCGUGCCUAAUACAUGCAAGUCGAACGAUAGCCUCGUUUUCGGAUGAGGUGAAAGUGGCGAACGGGUGAGUAACACAUGGCUGACCUGCCCUUCAGGGGGGGACAACUGCUGGAAACGGCAGCUAAUACCCCAUACGUUCGCGGAGAUUAGAAGCUCUGUGAAGAAAGCCUUUGGGUGCUGAAGGAGGGGGCUGUGGCCCAUCAGCUAGUUGGUAGGGUAACGGCCUACCAAGGCGAGGACGGGUAGGGGGCCUGAGAGGGUGACCCCCCACACGGGCACUGAGAUACGGGCCCGACUCCUACGGGAGGCAGCAGUGAGGAAUAUUGCGCAAUGGGGGCAACCCUGACGCAGCGACGCCGCGUGAGUGAGGAAGGCCUUCGGGUCGUAAAGCUCUGUCAGAUGGGAAGAAGUGCUAUAUGGUUAACACCCAUGUAGUUUGACGGUACCAUCAAAAGAAGCACCGGCUAACUCCGUGCCAGCAGCCGCGGUAAUACGGAGGGUGCAAGCGUUGUUCGGAAUCACUGGGCGUAAAGGGCGCGCAGGCGGCGUGUUAAGUCAGAUGUGAAAUCCCACGGCUCAACUGUGGAAGUGCAUUUGAAACUGGCAUGCUUGAGUACCAGAGGGGAAGGUGGAAUUCCCGGUGUAGAGGUGAAAUUCGUAGAUAUCGGGAGGAAUACCGGUGGCGAAGGCGACUUUCUGGCUGGAUACUGACGCUGAGGCGCGAAAGCGUGGGGAGCAAACAGGAUUAGAUACCCUGGUAGUCCACGCCGUAAACGAUGUGAACUAGAUGUUGGAGGUGUUGAUCCCUUCGGUGUCGUAGCAAACGCAUUAAGUUCACCGCCUGGGGAGUACGGUCGCAAGAUUAAAACUCAAAGGAAUUGACGG
rnacentral:rRNA from 1 species